GGUAUUACGGUCAUGUUGGGCAGCAUUGUAAUUUCCCAUGUUUGCAGAUAGCUAAUGUGUCUGAGAAAAAGAGAAUAAUUAUGGCUUCUGAAAUAUAAAUUUGGCAUUUUACUCUGUCACAUGUAUUUUCCAUCAUUUCACCGAACACAUGUAACGAGGGCUUAUGGCUUCGGCCCAAAUUCCGGUAAAAAUUAGAAGCAGCUGGUUAAGAACCUCGCUUGGUCCCUGACAACAUGGAAGUUACAACUUUCCUUACAUGUUGCCCAUCAUGACAUGACAUCCAUCCAUGACAUCCAUCCAUCCAUCCAUCCAUCCAUGUACAUCGAUCAUGUUCCACGCUUAUCUCAUGGACACUUCUAAUGACCUCUGGUCCUAAUCUUGUUGACUCACCCCAAAAAGGAGCUAAUUGUUUUUCUUUUAAUCUGUUUUGUUUUUAUCUUCAAGUUUUGUUCAUCGGAUUGCUCAGUUUUAAACC